rnacentral:lncRNA from 1 species
CGGAGGGAACAAGUUAUUCUCGGCGAGAGUGAUGACACCUGGGAUGUCUGGUGUUUAACAACCGGCUCUCAAGAAAGAAAAGAUUCCUGAUGUGUAGUGUUUGCUAAUUUCCGUGAUGUAAGUUUUCCUGCCGUGGCCACUUUCAAGCUACCAACAGGACGUCACGGGGCUUGGAACUGGAAGGAAAUGUGCACCAUCAGCUGCACAGGAGUGACAAAUCCCAUUACUGAGCACCUGCUGGGGACCCGGGCCUGAAACCUGUGUUUUCCAUGCCUGAUCUCACCUCCUCUCACUUACCUGGAAGGUUAUCAUCUCCAUUUUGCAGGCCCCGUGCUCACAAGCCUCUACUUGGAGCUGAGCUGUCAUGGUCCCGGUGGAGCCCAUGUUCUCCGGGAGAGAAGGGCACCUUUUGGUGAUGACCAGCAUCCUUGGCACUCCUUCCCUGCAGCUGCAUCAGUCCAGUCUCUGCCUUUGUCAUCAUGUGGAAAGACACCAGCCGGUUGGAUUAGAACCCACCCUAAUGACUUCAUCCACCCUUAAUCAGCUGCAAAGAUCCUAUUUCCGAGUAAGGUCACGUUCACAGCCCCAACAACCACCAAACACGUGUUGCAACUCCUCUCUCCCGUCCCUGCCCUGAGGUCACUGCGGUGAGAUCUUGCUGGCCCAGAGAUUAGCCCUGAGCUAACACCUGCUGCCAAUCCUCCUCUUUUUGCUGAGGAAGCCUGGCCCUGAGCUCACAUCCGUGCCCAUCUUCCUCCACGUUAUAUGUGGGACGCCUAUCACAGCAUGGCUUGUCAAGCUGUGCCAUGUCCACACCCGGGAUCCGAACCGGUGAACCUCGGGCCACCAAAGUGGAAUGUGUGAACUUAACCGCUGCACCACGGGCCGGCCCCUUAACCAUUUUUUAAGUGCACAGUUUGGUGGCAUUGAGUAUAUUUACUCUGUUGCGUGACCAUCGCCACCAUUCAUCUCCAGAACUUUUUCGUCUUCCCAAACAGAGACUCUGUCCCCAUUAAACACGAACUCCCCAGCCUCCCUUCCCCCAGCCCCUGGUAGCAACUUUUUCUUGAAAAACGCUAAAGCAUUUUCAAAAGCCAGCCAUUUGACCUCCUGGCAGGUGCAAGAAUGGCCAGGCUCCUGAGCUAUGUUUGAACUGUUUCUGGGCAAAACAACACAGAAAACUUCAAAGCAAGCCUCCUGCCACCCAUCCAGAAAAAUCUCAACUUUGCCUUCGUGACAUGUUCUCCAACAACCUGUGCUGCAACCUGUGGGGACCAGGACACCGAGAGAAGUGGGAUCAGAAAACCCAGAGGGAUGUCCCCUAGAGUUUAGACAAUGCAUGGUUUUCCACUGAAACACAGAUUUCUCACAUGAAAGAUGGCAGGGUUGAAGCUAAGGGAUUAGAAGGAGCAAAUCCUUGGAGCUUCUGAGAAAGGGAGGCAUCAGGAGCAGUUUGCAGACCGAGAACAAGGGCCCUCACAUUUCUAGAGGAUAGCAGAGCUUCCCUUGUUAAAUUGUGAUCCAUUGUCUGGAUCCCUGCUGAAUUUUGUGGUUAAAAUUCUGAUGUGAAAGACCGGAGGGCUUGCUUCAGGGACAGCCAGGAAGGUGAAGCCACCCAGCAAGGCCGGACCCCAGAGCCUUCGUGGGCAGGAGGCCCACAAGUGUUGGCGAGGGAGGUAGAGCUGCAGGGGAGCGGCAUGUGGCGCCACUCAGGCGGCCUGACCAAGGCUGGACCGCUCAGAUCAGGUGCUGCCUUGAAUGUUCUGCACACCAGGCAGGCCCUGAGGGCCGGGCCUGAAUGGAGGGAUGUGCAUUCCAGAACUGCAGCCAGAAAGGACAAGGUUACCCCAAAAGAGCCCCAGGGAUUCCCUGAAGGAGGAAUUUGGGGGCUCUGUGAGGGAAUUCCUGCUUAUGGGAGCAAGACACGCUGGAGCCCCUGUGAACACAGCAUGCGGAGCUCUGCCGGUGAUCUCCACCCUGUCACCUCCAAAGCUGAGUGGAGGGAGGAAGCACUUCAGUACCCGCUGAACUGAAGAGAUUCUCCAAAAAAGUUAUAGCGUGACUGGAGGCGCAAAACCCUGCCUCUACCUCCAUCCAGCCUCCUGAUAAAUUGCGGAAAGUCUGGAAACAUUCUCACUUCUACCACCAGAUGGCGCCAUCGACACAUUCCCUCCGCCCCCACAACCGCCGCAUGCCCCCGGCUAAUUGUUAAACCAGACAAGAAGCCCUCACAUCUAUAAAGGAGCCUGGUAGAUCCCAAACGACCCUCUGGCUCAGGGCAUGCACAGAAACCAUGGGAAUUCCAAGUGUGUGAGGGGAGGAGCAGAGGAAAGCAGAUACUGCCUGGAGAGCUGAGAACCCAGACAGUGAAAGGCCAUCCAGAUCAGAAAUCUCUAUUUCUCCAACCCUCUUCACUACACACUGCUCUUGUUCUUUUUAUUGUCUCACUUCCCUUUGUACAAAGAUUGAAGUUCCAACUAUUGAAAAUUCAGUGGUUGGGGCUGGCCCUGUGGGGCAGCUUAGUGGUUAAGUUCAUAUGCUCAGCUUCCACCACCCAGGGUUCAUGGGUUCUGAUCCUGGUCUGGACUUAUGAGCCACUCAUCAAGCCAUGCUGUGGCAGGCGUCCCACAUAUGAAACAGAGGAAGAUGGGCACAGAUCGUAGCUCAGGGCCAGUCUUCCUCAGCAAAAAGAGGAGAAUUGGUGACAGAUGUUAGCUCAGGGCUAGUCUUCCUCAAAAAAAAAAAAAAAAAAAGAGCCAGACAACCUGAUUGAAAAAUGGAGAAAGGAAUUGAACAGACAUUUCUCCAAAGAAGAUAUACAAAUGGCCAAGAAGCACAUGAAAACAUGCUCAACAUCAUUAAUCAUUCAGGGAAAUGCAAAUCAAAACCAUGAGAUACUACCUUACACCCAUUAGGAUGGCUAUUCUUUUUUUUUUUUUUUUUUGAGGAAGAUUAGCCCUGAGCUAGCAUCUGCUGCCAAUCCUCCUCUUUUUGUUGAGGAAGACUGGCCCUGAGCUAACAUCUGUGCCCUACUUUAUAUGUGGGACGCCUACCACAGCAUGGCUUGCCAAGCAGUGCCAUGUCCACACCCGGGAUCUGAACCAGCUAACCCUGGGCCUCUAAACAGGAACGUGUGAACUUAACCCCUGUGCCACUGGGCCAGCUCCAGGAUAGCUAUUCUUUAAAAAAAAAAAAGGGGUCAGAAAAUAACAAGUGUUGGCAGGGAUUUGGAGAAAUUGUAAUCCUUGUGUACUGAUGGUGGAUAUGUAUAAUGGUGCAGCUGGUAUGAAAAACAGGUGGCGCCUCAAAAUAUUGAAAAUAAAAUUACCAUAUGAUCUAGCAAUUACACUUCUGAGUAUAUACUCCAAAGAAUUAAAAGCAAGAUCUCAAAGAGAUUUUUAUACACUCAUGUUCAUAGCAGCAUAUUCACAAUAGCCAAAAAGUGGAAACAACCCAAAAGUCUUAUCGGUGGAUGAGUAGAUAAAUGUGGUAUUUACAUACAAUGGAAUAUUAUUCAGCCUUAAAAAGAAAGGAAACUCUGACACGUGCUACAGCACGAAUGAACCUUGAGGACAUUCUGCUAAGUGAAAUAACCCAGUCAGAAAAGGACAGAUAUUUUAUGAUUCCACUUAUAUGAUGAACCUGGAGCAGUUA